GGAAGGAAGAUAAAGGGAGAAAUAAAAUGAAGGCAUGAAGAUGGAUGGUGAUAAGUGAUUUUGAAGUGAUGGAUGAGAGUUCACAUCAGGGUACUUUGGGAAGGAGACUAAGCAGCACUUCAGAAGAUGAUUCCUGCAAAAUGGGAAGCUUUCUAUGCAUUUUCUGCAAAUGAAAAAUUUCUUCACUGGCAGCUUGCACUGGAAAGGCUGCUCAGCAGUUUGGUGGGAUGCUGACAACCCUCAAGUCCAAUUGCAAACAAGGAUUUUGGAGAGGGGACCUCUUUAUUUUCAAGGUUUUGGUGUAACUAGAGAGCCUACUGAAAUUCUGAAAAAAAAAAAAAAAGCAU